rnacentral:rRNA from 1 species
ACGGGUGAGUAACGCGUAGGUAACCUGCCUGGUAGCGGGGGAUAACUAUUGGAAACGAUAGCUAAUACAGCAUAUAAGUAGAUGUGGUAUGUGACAUGCGUGCUAGGGGUGCAAUUGUGUCUCAACAACAUAUGCAUGCGUGGUAUAAUAGAGAGUGGGGGGGGCGCCUCUCACUGCGACACGAUUAUACGAGACCAGAGGGUGAGAUCGGCAACGGAGGUGCUGCAAGGCCCACACGACUCCGGCAGGAAGCAGAAGGAAAUAAUCUUCGAUGGAGGGAAAAAGACCGACCACGCCGCCGCGUGAAGAAAGAUUGCUGACCGAUCAUCUCUGUUGGUUGAGAAAAACGAACGAGAGAGUGGAACGUUCACUCUGCAACGCUAUCUUAUCAUAAAGGAAAGGCUAACCACGUGACAUGCCCGCGGCCACACGAAUGCCCAGAGCGUUGGCCGGAUAUAUUGUGCGUGAAGCUAAAAGCGAGCGUUAGAUAAUUCUGAACUUUAAAGUUGUGGCUUUACCCAUAUAACGCUAGGAAAACUGGUAAAACUGGAUUGCAUGAGGGGAGAGUGGAAUACCCGGGAGUACCGGGGGAAAUGCGUAGAAUGUGGAGGAAUACCGAUGGAUAAAGCGGGAUCUCUGGCUUGUAUCUGACUCUGAAACUUCCAUAUGAUGCUCAACAAACAGGAUUAAAA